AACCCCGGGAAACUGGGGAUAAUUCCGGAUAACGCACAUAUGCUGGAAUGCUUUGUGCGUAAAAUGGAUUCCUCUGCCCAAGGAUGGGUCUGCGGCCUAUCAGGUAGUAGUGGGUGUAAUGUACCUACUAGCCAACAACGGGUACGGGUUGUGAGAGCAAGAGCCCGGAGAUGGAUUCUGAGACAUGAAUCCAGGCCCUACGGGGCGCAGCAGGCGCGAAAACUUUACAAUGCGGGAAACCGUGAUAAGGGGGACACCGAGUGCCAGCGUCAUACGCUGGCUGUCCAGGUGUGUAAAAUACACCUGUUAGCAAGGGCCGGGCAAGACCGGUGCCAGCCGCCGCGGUAACACCGGCGGCCCGAGUGGUGAUCGUGAUUAUUGGGUCUAAAGGGUCCGUAGCCGGUUUGGUCAGUCCUCCGGGAAAUCUGAUAGCUUAACUAUUAGGCUUUCGGGGGAUACCGCCAGGCUUGGAACCGGGAGAGGUAAGAGGUACUACAGGGGUAGGAGUGAAAUCUUGUAAUCCCUGUGGGACCACCUGUGGCGAAGGCGUCUUACCAGAACGGGUUCGACGGUGAGGGACGAAAGCUGGGGGCACGAACCGGAUUAGAUACCCGGGUAGUCCCAGCCGUAAACGAUGCUCGCUAGGUGUCAGGCAUGGCGCGACCGUGUCUGGUGCCGCAGGGAAGCCGUGAAGCGAGCCACCUGGGAAGUACG
rnacentral:rRNA from 1 species